rnacentral:rRNA from 1 species
CACGUAGGGUGCGAGCGUUGUCCGGAAUUAUUGGGCGUAAAGAGCUCGUAGGCGGCUCAUUGCGUCAACCGUGAAAACCAGCAGCUCAACUGUUGGCUUGCGGUUGAUACGGGUGGGCUGGAGUUCGGUAGGGGAGACUGGAAUUCCUGGUGUAGCGGUGAAAUGCGCAGAUAUCAGGAGGAACACCGGUGGCGAAGGCGGACCUCUGGGCCUUACCUGACGCUCAGGUGCGAAAGCUAGGGGAGCGAACAGG